rnacentral:rRNA from 1 species
CCUACGGGAGGCAGCAGUAGGGAAUCUUCCACAAUGGGCGCAAGCCUGAUGUAGCAACGCCGCGUGGGUGAAGAAGGUCUUCGGAUCGUAAAACCCUGUUGUUAGAGAAGAAAGUGCGUGAGAGUAACUGUUCACGUUUCGACGGUAUCUAACCAGAAAGCCACGGCUAACUACGUGCCAGCAGCCGCGGUAAUACGUAGGUGGCAAGCGUUAUCCGGAUUUAUUGGGCGUAAAGGGAACGCAGGCGGUCUUUUAAGUCUGAUGUGAAAGCCUUCGGCUUAACCGGAGUAGUGCACUGGAAACUGGGAGACUUGAGUGCAGAAGAGGAGAGUGGAACUCAAGGUGUAGCGGUGAAAUGCGUAGAUAUAUGGAAGAACACCAGUGGCGAAAGCGGCUCUCUGGUCUGUAACUGACGCUGAGGUUCGAAAGCGUGGGUAGCAAACAGGAUUAGAUACCCUAGUAGUC